GAUGAACGCCGGCGGCGUGCCUAAUACAUGCAAGUCGAGCGAACGGACGAGAAGCUUGCUUUUCUGAUGUUAGCGGCGGACGGGUGAGUAACACGUGGAUAACCUACCUAUAAGACUGGGAUAACUUCGGGAAACCGGAGCUAAUACCGGAUAAUAUUUUGAACCGCAUGGUUCAAAAGUGAAAGACGGUCUUGCUGUCACUUAUAGAUGGAUCCGCGCUGCAUUAGCUAGUUGGUAAGGUAACGGCUUACCAAGGCAACGAUGCAUAGCCGACCUGAGAGGGUGAUCGGCCACACUGGAGCUGAGACACGGUCCAGACUCCUACGGGAGGCAGCAGUAGGGAAUCUUCCGCAAUGGGCGAAAGCCUGACGGAGCAACGCCGCGUGAGUGAUGAAGGUCUUCGGAUCGUAAAACUCUGUUAUUAGGGAAGAACAUAUGUGUAAGUAACUGUGCACAUCUUGACGGUACCUAAUCAGAAAGCCACGGCUAACUACGUG
rnacentral:rRNA from 1 species